GACGAACGCUGGCGGCGUGCUUAACACAUGCAAGUCGAACGGAAAGGCCCUGCUUUUGUGGGGUGCUCGAGUGGCGAACGGGGGAGUAACACGUGAGUAACCUCCCCUUGACUUUGGGAUAACUUCAGGAAACUGGGGCUAAUACCGGAUAGGAGCUCCUGCUGCAUGGGGGGGGUUGGAAAGUUUCGGCGGUUGGGUAUGGACUCGCGGCUUAUCAGCUUGUUGGUGGGGUAGUGGCUUACCAAGGCUUUGACGGGUAGCCGGCCUGGGAGGGUGACCGGCCACAUUGGGACUGAGAUACGGCCCAGACUCCUACGGGAGGCAGCAGUGGGGAAUAUUGCACAAUGGGCGGAAGCCUGAUGCAGCAACGCCGCGUGCGGGAUGACGGCCUUCGGGUUGUAAACCGCUUUCGCCUGUGACGAAGCGUGAGUGACGGUAAUGGGUAAAGAAGCACCGGCUAACUACGUG
rnacentral:rRNA from 1 species